AGAGUGCAUUGAGUAGGCCUCUCUUGAGGCACACCCACAUUUCACUUCACCUCAACCUAGUGAGAGAUCGAGAGAGGAAGAUCGUAUCGAGAGAUCUAGCUCGAUACUUAAAAUCAUGCCCAUGUCUCUGGUGGUUAGUAGCUUCGUCCCAAAGACCUGCACGGUCCAUGUAAUCUCAACUCAGAAGCUCAAGCUGAAGCAGCGAUGCAAACAGAGGGUAUCUGUCAUUAGAUGCAAAGAACAGCCUCAGAAGCCCCCAAUCAAAACAGGCACAACCCCUCCUCAACAUAAUGACUUGCCCAAGGUGGCGAAGCAGGACGGGAAUGAGAGCAAAGCAUCAGUCGAGAAAGGUGGAGACAACAGCAAGAAAAACAUUGCACCGGCACAAGCAAGAAAAACUGAGGCGACCGAGUAAAUUUCUGUGGGAAACAAAGGGAGUUUCUGCAGAAAAGUGAAGUUACGGCGGAGGAUAGGAUCAACUCUUUAUGAAGCUUAUAGUGGAGAAAUAAUAGAAAUCUCUGUGUUUGUAAUAUAUGGGUUAGUCGUUGUCAAGUAGUUCAGUUUACUUAGAAUUACUGGUGUGGCUCUAUUUUAUUUCAUUGAUCGCGAAGCUUAGUCUAAUGCGCGAGAAGCACGCGUUAUAUGGUGUACUAUGGCCAUGCAAUGAAACUAGUGGCAAUAUAUGCUUGUUGAAGUUUGUGAGA